AAUGGGCGAAAGCCUGACGGAGCGAUGCCGCGUGGUGGAUGAAGGCCUUCGGGUUGUAAACACCUGUCAGAGAGGUGGAAAUGUUGACCUAAUCUCAGAGGAAGUCCGGGCUAAGUUCGUGCCAGCAGCCGCGGUAAUACGAACCGGACAAACGUUAUUCGGAAUCACUGGGCUUAAAGAGUACGUAGGCGGCCUUGCAAGUUGGGUGUGAAAUCCCACGGCUCAACCGUGGAACUGCGCUCAAAACUGCAAGGCUUGAGGGAGACAGGGGUAAGCGGAACUCACAGUGGAGCGGUGAAAUGCGUUGAUAUUGUGAGGAACACCGGUGGCGAAGGCGGCUUACUGGGUCUCUUCUGACGCUGAGGUACGAAAGCUAGGGUAGCGAACGGGAUU
rnacentral:rRNA from 1 species